rnacentral:piRNA from 1 species
GUCUUUUCUCAGAGGAUUUGCCACUUUU